rnacentral:rRNA from 1 species
GACGAACGCUGGCGGCGUGCCUAAUACAUGCCAGUAGAACGCUGAAGAGAGGAGCUUGCUCUUCUUGGAUGAGUUGCGAACGGGUGAGUAACGCGUAGGUAACCUGCCUUGUAGCGGGGGAUAACUAUUGGAAACGAUAGCUAAUACCGCAUAACAAUGGAUGACACAUGUCAUUUAUUUGAAAGGGGCAAUUGCUCCACUACAAGAUGGACCUGCGUUGUAUUAGCUAGUAGGUGAGGUAAUGGCUCACCUAGGCGACGAUACAUAGCCGACCUGAGAGGGUGAUCGGCCACACUGGGACUGAGACACGGCCCAGACUCCUACGGGAGGCAGCAGUAGGGAAUCUUCGGAAAUGGGGGCAACCCUGACCGAGCAACGCCGCGGGAGUGAAGAAGGUUUUCGGAUCGUAAAGCUCUGUUGUAAGUCAAGAACGGGUGUGAGAGUGGAAAGUUCACACUGUGACGGUAGCUUACCAGAAAGGGACGGCUAACUACGUG